ACUCCAUGGGGGAAAAGAUCAAUCAAAGGGGAUGCCCAAAAGGAAAUAUUACCAACUACCAGCCAAGCGAUAGCUUAACAAGGUAACCAACCAAAGGUAAAAGAAAUAUUACCUAACUACCAACCAAGUGAUAGCUUUACAAAGGUAAUAAUCUCGAGGAAAGAUUACUAACUACCAGCCAAGUGAUACCUUAACAAGGUAACCAACCAAAGAUAAAAGAAAUAUUAUCUAACUUUCAAUCAAGUGAUAACUUAAAAAAG
rnacentral:lncRNA from 1 species